UAUUUUUAGUAGAGAUGGUGUUUACCAUGGCUGGUCUUGAACUCCUGACCUCAAGUAAUCCACCUGCCUCGACCUCCCAGAGUGCUGGGAUUACAGGUGUGAGCCACUACACCUGGCCUACUUCUGGCAUUAAAGUGCUCUAGUUUUGGUAGAAUCUUCUCCUUGACUUCAGGACCCUCUCCACAUUUAUCCCCAGUCUAUAACUCACAUUAUUUCAUGUUUUCAAACAGAAAACCGUAAUUCAGGAGUAAACACCAUCCUCUGUAAGAUGUGUCACAGGAGCAGCCUGAAAUCUAUUAGACAGUCAUUCUGAAGCUGUGGUGAAAUGGAAGGGAAGCUAAUGUUGCAGCUAUGGAGAUGAGAUCCAAGCUCAGGAUCACACUUUUUCCAGAAUACUUUUUCAGUGUUUCCAAAACCAGCAAAAGUCAUUUAGAAGUCUCAUCUCCAGACUGCCAGACUACACAAAGGGGAACGUGAAGCUCUUUCAUAAAUGGUACCAAGUCCAAGAGAACUCCUUAAGGCAGCUCCAAUCGAAGGCUGUCUUGGCUGCUUCUGGAAACAACGAUCACUACUCCCAAAGUCAAAAACGACUAGAACACAGCCUUAAAAAUCAAGUCAUUUAAUCGUGUCUUUGAAGGUAAACAAUAUAUGGAGCUGGAUCACAACCCCUGAGAAUGCCAGAGCUGUGGGUCCAAAACAUGGUGUGGUAUUGUCAGCAGAGUUCAGAAGGGUCUGGACUCUACGUGUUACCAGGCAGAAAACAUGAUGGAAUUCAUGCAUUCCAUUUAGCGAUUGUGUAAAAUUCCAGAAACAGACCCCAAGAAUCUUUCAACAUGGGGAAAAUUCAACUUCUGGUUUUACAGAGAAACGAAUGAAGAGUUACCAAAACGCUUUGUUGAUUUCUCCUCAUUUUCCUCACACAAUCUGAAGCCUGAGCUGACUAUCAUAUCCCCAGCUCCCAGCAGCUGAAGCUGCAGUUCAGGUUUGAGCUCAGUCUCCAUACUCUUCCAUGUAGCACCACAGCAAGAGUGGCCGGAGGCAGAGAGCUCUCGGCGGGCCAGCUUCCUAACGAGCACGCCGAGUGGAAAAGAACCCUCUGGCAGCAGACUGGUUUAGUUUGUGAGAUUUUAAUUUACAAAUUAAAAAAGCUAUUUAAUACAUGUUUUACUUUUUCUCCUUUUUCUCCUCUUUCUUUACAUCACUCUUUUCCUUAUCUUUAUCUUUCUCCUUGUCCUCUUUCCUAUCCUUUUUGCUGUCUUCUUUCUCCUGCCCUUCUUUCUUCUCUGCAUCACGGUUGGCAAUCUUGUUGUUGAUGAGGUUGUGCAAGGCGACCACGGAACGGAUCAGCGAGGCCAAGUACACUACCACCAUCUGGUCGUUGGUCUUCAGGUAAAAGGCCUUGACAAACUCCUGCAGGCUGACGUCUGGCAGCAGGUUGAAGACGUCCUGCAGCUGGUAGAUGAUCUGGUGGUUGAUAGGCAGCUUGCCUGUGGCGACUUUUUCCAGGUAGCUCCUGAUAUCCAGAAGCUUGGAGUUCAGUCCCUUCAAACCAUGGACCUGGUUUGUGAUCCGCUGGGACAGAGUGCCCACCGUCGUGUCUUUGAUGUCUCUGUAAUAACCCGCAGUUAGAAAGGGCAGGAAAAGGCAUCGGGUACCAUGUUAUCACGCAAGGUCUUACAUUCUAAGAAAAUACCUAGCUUUGUUGGGUGCGGCAAGUUUUUAAAAGAAAAAUGUCACUUUUCCAUUUGAUAAUGAUUUAGUUAUCAAUUA